rnacentral:lncRNA from 1 species
CAGGAAAGGGUGUUGGCCAUGCUGGCCUCUGAAGGGAACCAAGCUCUGAUGCAGGGGCCGAGACCAGAGCAGUGUCAGCGGCAUCCCUGUUCUGGAAGGUCUCAGAGGAGUACCCAGGACUGGGGAGUCCAAUGCCUGCCGCCUUUUCUGGAGCACUUUAUUGACCUUUGGCUGUGUGCCACGCUCUGUGGUAGGUGCUGCAGGGACCAAGCAUAGAUUUCUUUAGCAGGCAUUAGUCAUGACCAGCCAGAGACAUGACUGCAUAUCUGAGUCAAUGUGAAGAUUCCACCAGAGGAGGAUAAUCAACACAGAGGAGCUGUCACACCUGUUUGUUAAAAUAAGUAUUUCUCACACUGCUUCAGGUGAGCCAGGUUGAACUGAACUGCAACCUGAAGCUACUAUUCUCAGCUCCAUACUGUGGGUAACAGCUUCAGCAAAGAAUUUGACCUCAAGCAAGAUGAACUCCAAAUAACGCAUAAAGUAACAUCAACAUGAUGCAGUGUGUGUGAAACAGAUCUCGGUCCCGUAAGAGCAAAAGAGAAGGACAAAUCAGAUCAUCACACGGGAUGUCUUUUUUGUGCGAUUUUGCAUUUUCCCAUUCAAAACAAAAAAUAAAUAAUAAAUUUGAAGCUACUCACUCAUGGAUUCUGUCAGCUUGGCCAUUGUUGCAGUUUCUUCUUUGUGCUUUUCCUGGAGGUGAGAAGAAAAGAC